rnacentral:rRNA from 1 species
UACGUAGGUGGCAAGCGUUGUCCGGAUUUAUUGGGUUUAAAGGGUGCGUAGGCGGUCUUAUAAGUCAGUGGUGAAAUACGGCAGCUCAACUGUCGAGGUGCCAUUGAUACUGUAGGACUUGAGUACAGACGAGGUAGGCGGAAUUGACGGUGUAGUGGUGAAAUGCUUAGAUAUCGUCAAGAACACCGAUAGCGAAGGCAGCUUACUGGGCUGUAACUGACGCUGAGGCACGAAAGUGUGGGGAUCAAACAGG